rnacentral:rRNA from 1 species
GAUGAACGCUGGCGGCGUGCCUAAUACAUGCAAGUCGAGCGAACAGACGAGGAGCUUGCUCCUCUGACGUUAGCGGCGGACGGGUGAGUAACACGUGGAUAACCUACCUAUAAGACUGGGAUAACUUCGGGAAACCGGAGCUAAUACCGGAUAAUAUAUUGAACCGCAUGGUUCAAUAGUGAAAGACGGUUUUGCUGUCACUUAUAGAUGGAUCCGCGCCGCAUUAGCUAGUUGGUAAGGUAACGGCUUACCAAGGCGACGAUGCGUAGCCGACCUGAGAGGGUGAUCGGCCACACUGGAACUGAGACACGGUCCAGACUCCUACGGGAGGCAGCAGUCGGGAAUCUUCCGCAAUGGGCGAAAGCCUGACGGAGCAACGCCGCGUGAGUGAUGAAGGUCUUCGGAUCGUAAAACUCUGUUAUUAGGGAAGAACAAAUGUGUAAGUAACUAUGCACGUCUUGACGGUACCUAAUCAGAAAGCCACGGCUAACUACGUG